rnacentral:rRNA from 1 species
CGCCUGGGGAGUGCGGCCGCAAGGUUAAAACUCAAAUGAAUUGACGGGGGCCUGCACAAGCGGUGGAGCAUGUGGUUUAAUUCGAAGCAACGCGCAGAACCUUACCAGCGUUUGACAUGGUAGGACGACUGGCAGAGAUGCCUUUCUUCCCUUCGGGGACCUACACACAGGUGCUGCAUGGCUGUCGUCAGCCCGUGCCGUGAGAUGUUGGGUUAAGUCCCGCAACGAGCGCAACCCUCGCCUUUAGUUACCAUCAUUUAGUUGGGUACUCUAAAGGAACCGCCGGUGAUAAGCCGGAGGAAGGUGGGGAUGACGUCAAGUCCUCAUGGCCCUUACGCGCUGGGCUACACACGUGCUACAAUGGCAACUACAGUGGGCAGCAAUCCCGCGAGGGUGAGCUAAUCUCCAAAAGUUGUCUCAGUUCGGAUUGUUCUCUGCAACUCGAGAGCAUGAAGGCGGAAUCGCUAGUAAUCGCGGAUCAGCAUGCCGCGGUGAAUACGUUCCCAGGCCUUGUACACACCGCCCGUCACACCAUGGGAGUUGGAUUCACCCGAAGGCGUCGCGCUAACCGCAAGGAGGCAGGCGACCACGGUGGGUUUAGCGACUGGGGUGAAGUCGUAACAAGGUAACCGUA